rnacentral:rRNA from 1 species
AUUGAACGCUGGCGGCAUGCCUUACACAUGCAAGUCGAACGGUAACAGGUCUUCGGAUGCUGACGAGUGGCGAACGGGUGAGUAAUACGUAAGUAAUCUACCUUCGAGUGGGGAAUAACGUUCGGAAACGAACGCUAAUACCGCAUAAUGCAGCGGCAUCUAUGAUGACAGUUGUUAAAGAUUUAUCGCUUGAAGAGGAGCUUGCGGCAGAUUAGCUAGUUGGUAAGGUAACGGCUUACCAAGGCGACGAUCUGUAUCCGGUCUAAGAGGACGGUCGGACACACUGACACUGAAUAACGGGUCAGACUCCUACGGGAGGCAGCAGUCGGGAAUUUUGGGCAAUGGGCGAAAGCCUGACCCAGCAACGCCGCGUGAAGGAUGAAGUUUUUCGGAAUGUAAACUUCGUAAGAAUAGGAAGAAUAAAUGACGGUACUAUUUGUAAGGUCCGGCUAACUACGUGCCAGCCGCCGCGGUAACAC